CUACAGUAGAGAGCCGACUUAUAUGGCUCUCUAAAAUGUGAGUGCUCCUAAUCAUUUUCUAUAUCAGUUAUUGGUUUAUGCAUAUUGCCCUAUGAUAGCUGUCUAUUUUACACAUUAUCUUAUCAAGCAUCCAUUGUGUGCGCAAAACCACCUUUUCCUGUAUCCAAUUCUAGAUUUAUUGCUUGCAGCAAAAAUACUACUCUGUUGAUA